AACGUAGGAGACAAACGUUAUCCGGAGUUACUGGGCGUAAAGGGCGUGUAGGUGGUUUCGUAAGUCUGGCGUGAAAUUUUUCGGCUUAACCGGGAAAGGUCGUCGGAUACUGCGGAACUAGAGGACGGUAGAGGCGUGUGGAAUUCCGGGUGUAGUGGUGAAAUGCGUAGAGAUCGGGAGGAACACCUGUGGCGAAGGCGGCUCGCUGGGCCGGUCCUGACGCUGAAACGCGAAGGCGUGGGAGCGAACGGG
rnacentral:rRNA from 1 species